rnacentral:rRNA from 1 species
AUUGAACGCUGGCGGCAGGCCUAACACAUGCAAGUCGAACGAGUGGCGGACGGGUGAGUAAUGUCUGGGAAACUGCCCGAUGGAGGGGGAUAACUACUGGAAACGGUAGCUAAUACCGCAUACCAUCGGAUGUGCCCAGAUGGGAUUAGCUAGUAGGUGGGGUAACGGCUCACCUAGGAGGCGAGCCCUAGCUGGUCUGAGAGGAUGACCAGUCACACUGGAACUGGUGCACUGUCCAGACUCCUACGGGAGGCAGCAGGGGGGAAUAUGGCACAAUGGGCGCAAGCCUGAUGUAGCCAUGCCGCGUGUAUGGAGAAGGCCUUCGGGUUGUAAAGUACUUUCAGCGGGGAGGCGUUACCCGCAGAAGAAGCACCGGCUAACUCCGUGCCAGCAGCCGCGGUAAUAC